GCGCAGCAGUCGAGAAACUUUACAAUGUGCGAAAGCACGAUAAGGGAACUCUGAGUGCCUCCUAAGGAGGCUGUUCUGAUGUCUAAAAAGCAACAGAAGUAAGGGCUGGGUAAGACCGGUGCCAGCCGCCGCGGUAACACCGGCAGCCCAAGUGGUAGCCACGUUUAUUGGGUCUAAAGCGUUCGUAGCCGGCCAGGUAAGUUCCUUGGUAAAUUUAGCCGCUUAACGGUUAAGCUUUCAGGGAAUACUGCUUGGCUUGGGACUGGGAGAGGUCAGAGGUACUCCGGGGGUAGGGGUGAAAUCUAUUAAUCCCUGGGGGACCACCGGUAGCGAAGGCGUCUGACCAGACCAGGUCCGACGGUGAGGGACGAAGGCUAGGGGCGCGAACCGGAUUAGAUACCCGCAUAGU
rnacentral:rRNA from 1 species